GACGGAGGGUGCAAACGUUGCUCGGAAUCACUGGGCGUAAAGGGCGUGUAGGCGGGAAGGAAAGUCAGAUGUGAAAUCCCCAGGCUCAACCUGGGAACUGCAUUUGAAACUCCCUUUCUUGAGUACCGGAGAGGAAAGUGGAAUUCCUGGUGUAGAGGUGAAAUUCGUAGAUAUCAGGAGGAACACCAGUGGCGAAGGCGGCUUUCUGGACGGUAACUGACGCUGAGACGCGAAAGCGUGGGGAGCAAACAGG
rnacentral:rRNA from 1 species